AGUGAACGCUGGCGGUAGGCCUAACACAUGCAAGUCGGACGGCAGCACAGUAAGAGCUUGCUCUUACGGGUGGCGAGUGGCGGACGGGUGAGGAAUACAUCGGAAUCUACUUUUUCGUGGGGGAUAACGUAGGGAAACUUACGCUAAUACCGCAUACGACCUACGGGUGAAAGCAGGGGAUCUUCGGACCUUGCGCGAUUGAAUGAGCCGAUGUCGGAUUAGCUAGUUGGCGGGGUAAAGGCCCACCAAGGCGACGAUCCGUAGCUGGUCUGAGAGGAUGAUCAGCCACACUGUAACUGAGACACGGUCCAGACUCCUACGGGAGGCAGCAGUGGGGAAUAUUGGACAAUGGGCGCAAGCCUGAUCCAGCCAUACCGCGUGGGUGAAGAAGGCCUUCGGGUUGUAAAGCCCUUUUGUUGGGAAAGAAAAGCAGCAGGUUAAUACCCCGCUGUUCUGACGGUACCCAAAGAAUAAGCACCGGCUAACUUCGUG
rnacentral:rRNA from 1 species